rnacentral:rRNA from 1 species
UGCGCAAGUCAUUGGGACAUAAAGCGAAACCUAAAGGCGAAAUGAAAGUGAAUACACAUGUGCGUACUUGCGCGGCUGUUGUUAGUGCAGGGCCAUUUCGGUGGUUGUGUGCGAGCUCAGCAGGUGCGGGGUGCGUAUAUAGAGGGAGGAUGAGCAGGCUGUUUAGUUGGUCGGCUCCGCACUCCCGGGGCGUCUCGUGUUCAUUGCGAACUGAGGCGCACCUAGAGCGUACACGCUGGGACCCGAAAGAUGGUGAACUAUGCCUGGUCAGGACGAAGUCAGGGGAAACCCUGAUGGAGGUCCGUAGCGAUUCUGACGUGCAAAUCGAUCGUCGGAACUGGGUAUAGGGG